rnacentral:rRNA from 1 species
GGAAUAUUGGUCAAUGGACGCAAGUCUGAACCAGCCAUGCCGCGUGCAGGAUGACGGCCCUACGGGUUGUAAACUGCUUUUAUAUAGGAAGAAACCCCUCUACGGGUAGAGGGCUGACGGUACUAUAAGAAUAAGGACCGGCUCACUCCGUUCCAGCAGCCGCGGUAAUACGGAGGGUCCAAUCGUUAUCCUGAUUUAUUGGGUUUAAAGGGUACGUAGGCGGAAUUUUAAGUCAGUAGUGAAAGCCCAUCGCUUAACGAUGGAACUGCUAUUGAAACUGAAAUUCUUGAAUAUAGUUGAAGUAGGCGGAAUACGGCAUGUAGCGGUGAAAUGCAUAGAUAUGCCGUGGAACACCAAUCGCGAAGGCAGCUUACUAAGCUAUUAUUGACGCUAAUGUACGAAAGCGUGGGUAGCG